rnacentral:rRNA from 1 species
UACGGAUGGUGCGAGCGUUAAUCGGAAUCACUGGGCAUAAAGAGCACGUAGGCGGCGACGUAAGUCAGUGGUGAAAUCCCUCGGCUCAACCGAGGAACUGCCGUUGAUACUGUGUUGCUGGAGUGCGGGAGGGGCAGACGGAAUUCCAGGUGGAGCGGUGAAAUGCGUAGAUAUCUGGAGGAACGCCGGAGGCGAAAGCGGUCUGCUGGCCCGUAACUGACGCUGAGGUGCGAAAGCUAGGGGAGCAAACAGG